UACGGAGGGGGCUAGCGUUGUUCGGAAUUACUGGGCGUAAAGCGCGCGUAGGCGGCUUUGUAAGUCAGAGGUGAAAGCCUGGAGCUCAACUCCAGAACUGCCUUUGAGACUGCAUCGCUAGAAUCAUGGAGAGGUAAGUGGAAUUCCGAGUGUAGAGGUGAAAUUCGCAGAUAUUCGGAAGAACACCAGUGGCGAAGGCGACUUACUGGACACAUAUUGACGCUGAGGUGCGAAAGCGUGGGUAGCAAACAGG
rnacentral:rRNA from 1 species